ACGUACUGGAGAACAAAGUACAGAAAAGAGGCCCUUGAUGCUACUUAGAAAGAAUGCUUUAGCAUACAUAAAUCCUUUGCUUUAAUGUGACAUAAGAGGAAAUACUUGACAUGUUAAUCAUUUGUCACUUCUCUUUCUAAAUACCUGCACUGUUCAAGUCCUCCCUGAACUCCAAAACAGCGUCUGUUUGUGAUGGUGACCCCAUGGCACAAACCACAAAGCUUUCAGUAUUUGACAUAGUUGCCUCUUGUUUUUAUGUCAAAACCAACAGAUGAGAAGAACCAACUCCCUGAGACUGAAAUGCAAGAAUUUCUAAGGUAUCUCACUGGUCUGGCUAACCGCCUUUCCUCUUUACUUCCAAUACCAUGGUGGUCAUAUUCCACUUCCUAUGAUCUUAGCUAUAGAUCUACUCUGUGCCUAUUAGGACUUCAAGUGAGUGGAGGUGAAUAUAAAUACAUAUAUUUUGUUUACAUUCAUAUCACUACAAGACUGGAGAACUAUUUCUAACAUUACCACUUGAGAUCUUAGUGGAAUACAUUCAAAAUAACACUAGUGGCCUAUAAUUCUUAUAUGGUUGAUGAAGUUUGCCAGCUAUGAAUACAUUCAUAACACUAGCGGCCUGUAAUUCUUACAUGGUUGAUGAAGUUUGCCAACUUGUAUUAAGAAGGUUAAUUUUGUCACUGGUUUGUAUAAAAAAAUAAUCAAACAUGACAUGAAUAAAAUUGACAAGAGGAGAUAUUAUUAGUCUUGGCUGCUAUAUUUGUUGAGUAUUCCUUUAUGAUUAUAUCUACAUGUAAGCUUAGUCAUGACCACUAACAUGUCCUAAAUUUAGUGACAGGAGCAGGAUUAGAAAUUUAAAAUAUAAAAUGUCUUAAGUAAUGGUUUCUACUUGUCAUUCUCAUGGCCUCUUUCAAAUUCCUAAGAAAAUAUUUCUGAGCAUGGGGAAACAAAAAAUAUAUACAUAGAUAUAGAUAAAAUAUUUUAAAAAGGCUAAUAAGCAGUAAAUUGCUAGAAUCUUAGACUAUUAUUCUUAAUGUGAGCAUAAUAAAAUUUGAGUGAUAAGCAAAAUCCUUGGCCCUCAAGUGUGAUUGAAGCCAUUGGAAAAAAGCAAGUGUGAAACUAGUAGAAGAUGGAGAACUUUCUAUAUCGCAUCCAUUAUAUGUUUCAGUGUUUCUACAGGGAAGUGAUUUGAAAUCUACUCCACUAUUCAAUUGGUGUUGCUGAAG
rnacentral:lncRNA from 1 species